AGAGUUUGAUCCUGGCUCAGGAUGAACGCUAGCUACAGGCUUAACACAUGCAAGUCGUGGGGCAGCGGAUACUUAGCUUGCUAAGUAUGCCGGCGACCGGCGCACGGGUGAGUAACGCGUACCGAACCUGCCCAUCACACAGGGAUAGGCUUGCGAAAGCAAGAUUAAUACCUGAUGGUCUCAGUUGUAUGCAUGUAUGAUUGAGUAAAGCCUUCGGGCGGUGAUGGAUGGCGGUGCGUCCCAUUAGGAAGUUGGCGGGGUAACGGCCCACCAAUCCUUCGAUGGGUAGGGGUUCUGAGAGGAAGGUCCCCCACAUUGGAACUGAGAUACGGUCCAAACUCCUACGGGAGGCAGCAGUGAGGAAUAUUGGUCAAUGGGCGAGAGCCUGAACCAGCCAAGUAGCGUGCAGGAUGACGGCCCUAUGGGUUGUAAACUGCUUUUGUAUGGGGAUAAAGUUAGGGACGUGUCCCUAUUUGCAGGUACCAUACGAAUAAGGACCGGCUAAUUCCGUGCCAGCAGCCGCGGUAAUACGGAAGGUCCGGGCGUUAUCCGGAAUUAUUGGGUUUAAAGGGAGCGCAGGCGGGAGUAUAAGUCAGCUGUUAAAUAUCAGGGCCCAACUCUGUUAUGCAGUUGAAACUAUAUUUCUUGAGUACGCACAGGGAUGGCGGAAUUCAGGGUGUAGCGGUGAAAUGCUUAGAUAUCCUGAAGAACUCCGAUCGCGAAGGCAGCCAUCCGGAGCGUAACUGACGCUGAGGCUCGAAGGUGCGGGUAUCGAACAGGAUUAGAUACCCUGGUAGUCCGCACGGUAAACGAUGAAUACUCGCAGUUCGGUCUUUAUGGUCGAGUUGUCCAGCGAAAGCGUUAAGUAUUCCACCUGGGGAGUACGCCGGCAACGGUGAAACUCAAAGGAAUUGACG
rnacentral:rRNA from 1 species